rnacentral:rRNA from 1 species
UACGAAGGGGGCUAGCGUUGCUCGGAAUUACUGGGCGUAAAGGGCGCGUAGGCGGCACUGUUAGUCAGGCGUGAAAGUCCUGGGCUCAACCUGGGAACUGCGCUUGAUACGGCAGAGCUAGAGGGAUGGAAGAGGGUCGCGGAAUUCCCAGUGUAGAGGUGAAAUUCGUAGAUAUUGGGAAGAACACCGGUGGCGAAGGGCGGCGACCUGGUCCAUUACUGACGCUGAGGCGCGACAGCGGUGGGGGAGCAAACAGG